rnacentral:rRNA from 1 species
ACGCUCGACACUACGGGAAGGCAGCAGUGGGGAAUAUUGGGCAAUGGGCGCAAGCCUGACCCAGCAACGCCGCGUGAAGGAAGAAGGCCCUCGGGUUGUAAACUUCUUUUAUCAGGGACGAAGCAAGUGACGGUACCUGAUGAAUAAGCCACGGCUAACUACGUGCUAGCAGCCGCGGUAAUCUGAGCGGGCUGGCAAGGC